AAACAUAACCAAACAUAUUUUAUUCGUUGUCGAAGGUCGAGCUUUGUGGUCGAGGUCGAAGAAUUUAAAAAUUAAAUCAAUUAUAAGCGAAGUUCUAAAUAAGGUUAUUUGAAGAAGAUAUUAACUGAUAUUAAUAAACGGAAGUUUAGGAUGUCAGAGGGCUCGAGUAAAGACAGCGGUGCAACUAAAACACCAAUGGUAUAUAUAUGUGGUGAAUGUCACAAUGAGAAUGAAAUCAGACCACGAGAUCCCAUAAGAUGCAGAGAGUGCGGAUAUCGUAUUAUGUACAAAAAACGAACCAAGAGAUUAAUUGUCUUUGAUGCAAGAUGAGUAUUAUCCAGUCUGCCUAUCAGAGGUUAAGUUCAACUUAUAAUAUCAGCACUGAAGUUCUAUUUAAUAUCAGUUUAAUUAUUUUUACUAAUAAAACUCAAUGAAUUAAGAAUA